rnacentral:rRNA from 1 species
UACGAAGGGGGCUAGCGUUGCUCGGAAUCACUGGGCGUAAAGCGCACGUAGGCGGGUCCUUAAGUCCGGGGUGAAAUCCUGGAGCUCAACUCCAGAACUGCCUUUGAUACUGAUAGUCUUGAGUAUGGGAGAGGUGAGUGGAACUGCGAGUGUAGAGGUGAAAUUCGUAGAUAUUCGCAAGAACACCAGUGGCGAAGGCGGCUCACUGGCCCAUUACUGACGCUGAGGCACGAAAGCGUGGGGAGCAAACAGG